AUUGAACGCUGGCGGCAGGCUUAACACAUGCAAGUCGAGCGGGGGAAGGUAGCUUGCUACCGGACCUAGCGGCGGACGGGUGAGUAAUGCUUAGGAAUCUGCCUAUUAGUGGGGGACAACAUCUCGAAAGGGAUGCUAAUACCGCAUACGUCCUACGGGAGAAAGCAGGGGAUCUUCGGACCUUGCGCUAAUAGAUGAGCCUAAGUCGGAUUAGCUAGUUGGUGGGGUAGAGGCCUACCAAGGCGACGAUCUGUAGCGGGUCUGAGAGGAUGAUCCGCCACACUGGGACUGAGACACGGCCCAGACUCCUACGGGAGGCAGCAGUGGGGAAUAUUGGACAAUGGGGGAACCCUGAUCCAGCCAUGCCGCGUGUGUGAAGAAGGCCUUAUGGUUGUAAAGCACUUUAAGCGAGGAGGAGGCUACUCUAGUUAAUACCUAGGGAUAGUGGACGUUACUCGCAGAAUAAGCACCGGCUAACUCUGUGCCAGCAGCCGCAGUAACAC
rnacentral:rRNA from 1 species